GGGCCUGUAGCUCAGCGGACAGAGCGCAGGGCUCCGGACCCUGAGGUCGGGGGUUCAAAUCCCCCCAGGCCCG
rfam:Caldimicrobium thiodismutans DNA, complete genome.